rnacentral:lncRNA from 1 species
GCCCUAAAUCUGAGGGUUAGGAAAGAGAGGUGUUUAAUGAAUUCGUACUUUCUAUAUUAGUAGAGAUUAUCAAAUGUGUAGUGUAUUUGUGAAAAAUGCAUAUUUUAAAACAUGGUUAUCGUGACAACAAAUUAUGAUAUAAGUUCGCAUUGUUCCUCUCAUUCUUUUUGUUGUCUUUAAUUUCCAGAAAUAUAUCGAUUUGGUUAGGGUAGCUUCCCUGAAAAAAAGAAGAAGAAGAAGUUAGGGUAGCUGCCUCAAUUUCCGAUUCAAGCCAUAGUAUAUAAUUUAUAUAAAAUAUUUUUACUUCUUUCUUUCUUGUAUUUAAUUUUUUUCCUCCUUUUUCGUUUUCCUCAUAAUUCCUUUUCCUUGUUCACGCACGCAACUGUUGAGGCAGAAAUGCUACUGGGCGAGAUUCUCCCCCCCCUCUCUCUACUUGGUUUCUUUUUUUUACACCGCAUUACUUUCCUAUUUUAGUAAAUUUAUACACCUCAAGUUUACACAUCUAAAGUUUAGAGACUAAAAGUUUAUAAGUCAAAAGUUUAUAUAUCUGAUUCAAAUUUGAAUUUGAAUUCAAAUAUUUUUCAUAUAUAGUAUUUCUAUACAUCUAAAGUUUAUACACCUAAAGUUUAUAGACCUAAAGUUUAUAGACCUAAAGUUUAUAUACCCGAUUAAAAUUUAAAUUUGAAUUAUAUCUAAUUAAAAUUUGAAUUUGAAUUCAAAUGUUUUCUAUAUAUAUAGUAUUUCUGUACAUCUAAAGUUUAUACACCUAAAGUUUAUAGACCCAAAGUUUAUAAGUUAAAAGUUUAUAUACCUGAUU